AACGAACGCUGGCGGCAUGCCUAACACAUGCAAGUCGAACGAGACCUUCGGGUCUAGUGGCGCACGGGUGCGUAACGCGUGGGAACCUGCCCAUAGGUUUGGAAUAACUCCCCGAAAGGGGUGCUAAUACCGGAUCAUGUCUUCGGACCAACGAUUUAUCGCCUUUGGAUGGGCCCGCGUUGGAUUAGCUAGUUGGUAGGGUAAAAGCCUACCAAGGCGACGACCCAUAGCUGGUCUGAGAGGAUGAUCAGCCACACUGGGACUGAGACACGGCCCAGACUCCUACGGGAGGCAGCAGUGGGGAAUAUUGGACAAUGGGCGAAAGCCUGAUCCAGCAAUGCCGCGUGAGUGAUGAAGGCCUUAGGGUUGUAAAGCUCUUUUACCCGGGAUGAUAAUGACAGUACCGGGAGAAUAAGCUCCGGCUAACUCCGUG
rnacentral:rRNA from 1 species